ACUGUUUAUCGUAGGGAAGAAUCCACACCGUGCUUGUCUACAUCUGGAUUGACAUGUCAGCUUGCUAUCAAGAAAAGAGAUACACCGGUCGGCCCUUGUAGCCCGCCGUCGCCCUCAACCACAUUCACCACCCUCGCCCCCUCCUCACACAGAACCGCACAGAUCCGUCGUAGCUGACCAUGGAUUCCGCUAGACCACCUGAGAUGACAUGGUUGCUGGACCCGUCGAACUCCACCACGGGCAUGCAUCGCCGAUGGAAGGAAUAGAGGAGCCUGCAGCCGCUCAUGGUAUCGACCUCUAGCGUCAAUCACCACCGAUCUGGAUUUGGAGGCAAGCUUGAGGAACCGAGCUCGUACUGGACGGCGGGGGCAACGCUAAGCAAAAUGAGCUUAAUGUGUUCAAGCAGAAGCACAAAGUAGUUUCAAGCCUGUAUGCUAACGGGAACGCACAGUCGUCAAUCAUGAGUGAGCAUUUGAACAGAGGGCAGUCCAAUGAGUUGGAAACCGCAUCAGGUAAGCAAAUCAAGUGUGGUAGGUGCAAGAAUCUAGGAGACAACAGGAAGAAAUGCAAGGUUAGAGAGAUGUAAUGUUCCUCACUUGACCAGUUGUGGUUCCAAUCUUCUAAUUUUCGGUGAUCAUGUUUCCGAUUUUGUUAAGCAUGACUAUACCAGGUGAUCUUUGUUUUGGGACGUUCCUGUUAGCACCUCUUCGACGAACAUCUUUUGUGUCAUUUUGUUUAGAUGGCAUGAUCAGUUGAUCACGCGUCAGAUGUGUUAUGUAUGAUAUAUGCAAUGGGCUUUCCCAGAUAUACAUUGUCUUUUCGUCA